rnacentral:rRNA from 1 species
GACGAACGCUGGCGGCGUGCUUAACACAUGCAAGUCGAACGGAAAGGCCCUGCUUUUGUGGGGUGCUCGAGUGGCGAACGGGUGAGUAACACGUGAGUAACCUGCCCUUGACUUUGGGAUAACUUCAGGAAACUGGGGCUAAUACCGGAUAGGAGCUCCUGCUGCAUGGUGGGGGUUGGAAAGUUUCGGCGGGUGGGGAUGGACUCGCGGCUUAUCAGCUUGUUGGUGGGGUAGUGGCUUACCAAGGCUUUGACGGGUAGCCGGCCUGAGAGGGUGACCGGCCACAUUGGGACUGAGAUACGGCCCAGUCUCCUACGGGAGGCAGCAGUGGGGAAUAUUGCACAAUGGGCGGAAGCCUGAUGCAGCAACGCCGCGUUCGGGAUGACGGCCUUCGGGUUGUAAACCGCUUUCGCCUGUGACGAAGCGUGAGUGACGGUAAUGGGUAAAGAAGCACCGGCUAACUACGUG